rnacentral:rRNA from 1 species
CGAAGGGAAACCGAGUCUUAACUGGGCGUUAAGUUGCAGGGUAUAGACCCGAAACCCGGUGAUCUAGCCAUGGGCAGGUUGAAGGUUGGGUAACACUAACUGGAGGACCGAACCGACUAAUGUUGAAAAAUUAGCGGAUGACUUGUGGCUGGGGGUGAAAGGCCAAUCAAACCGGGAGAUAGCUGGUUCUCCCCGAAAGCUAUUUAGGUAGCGCCUCGUGAAUUCAUCUCCGGGGGUAGAGCACUGUUUCGGCAAGGGGGUCAUCCCGACUUACCAACCCGAUGCAAACUGCGAAUACCGGAGAAUGUUAUCACGGGAGACACACGGCGGGUGCUAACGUCCGUCGUGAAGAGGGAAACAACCCAGACCGCCAGCUAAGGUCCCAAAGUCAUGGUUAAGUGGGAAACGAUGUGGGAAGGCCCAGACAGCCAGGAUGUUGGCUUAGAAGCAGCCAUCAUUUAAAGAAAGCGUAAUAGCUCACUGGUCGAGUCGGCCUGCGCGGAAGAUGUAACGGGGCUAAACCAUGCACCGAAGCUGCGGCAGCGACGCUGAUGCGUUGUUGGGUAGGGGAGCGUUCUGUAAGCCUGCGAAGGUGUGCUGUGAGGCAUGCUGGAGGUAUCAGAAGUGCGAAUGCUGACAUAAGUAACGAUAAAGCGGGUGAAAAGCCCGCUCGCCGGAAGACCAAGGGUUCCUGUCCAACGUUAAUCGGGGCAGGGUGAGUCGACCCCUAAGGCGAGGCCGAAAGGCGUAGUCGAUGGGAAACAGGUUAAUAUUCCUGUACUUGGUGUUACUGCGAAGGGGGGACGGAGAAGGCUAUGUUGGCCGGGCGACGGUUGUCCCGGUUUAAGCGUGUAGGCUGGUUUUCCAGGCAAAUCCGGAAAAUCAAGGCUGAGGCGUGAUGACGAGGCACUGCGGUGCUGAAGCAACAAAUGCCCUGCUUCCAGGAAAAGCCUCUAAGCAUCAGGUAACAUCAAAUCGUACCCCAAACCGACACAGGUGGUCAGGUAGAGAAUACCAAGGCGCUUGAGAGAACUCGGGUGAAGGAACUAGGCAAAAUGGUGCCGUAACUUCGGGAGAAGGCACGCUGAUAUGUAGGUGAAGUCCCUCGCGGAUGGAGCUGAAAUCAGUCGAAGAUACCAGCUGGCUGCAACUGUUUAUUAAAAACACAGCACUGUGCAAACACGAAAGUGGACGUAUACGGUGUGACGCCUGCCCGGUGCCGGAAGGUUAAUUGAUGGGGUUAGCGCAAGCGAAGCUCUUGAUCGAAGCCCCGGUAAACGGCGGCCGUAACUAUAACGGUCCUAAGGUAGCGAAAUUCCUUGUCGGGUAAGUUCCGACCUGCACGAAUGGCGUAAUGAUGGCCAGGCUGUCUCCACCCGAGACUCAGUGAAAUUGAACUCGCUGUGAAGAUGCAGUGUACCCGCGGCAAGACGGAAAGACCCCGUGAACCUUUACUAUAGCUUGACACUGAACAUUGAGCCUUGAUGUGUAGGAUAGGUGGGAGGCUUUGAAGUGUGGACGCCAGUCUGCAUGGAGCCGACCUUGAAAUACCACCCUUUAAUGUUUGAUGUUCUAACGUUGACCCGUAAUCCGGGUUGCGGACAGUGUCUGGUGGGUAGUUUGACUGGGGCGGUCUCCUCCUAAAGAGUAACGGAGGAGCACGAAGGUUGGCUAAUCCUGGUCGGACAUCAGGAGGUUAGUGCAAUGGCAUAAGCCAGCUUGACUGCGAGCGUGACGGCGCGAGCAGGUGCGAAAGCAGGUCAUAGUGAUCCGGUGGUUCUGAAUGGAAGGGCCAUCGCUCAACGGAUAAAAGGUACUCCGGGGAUAACAGGCUGAUACCGCCCAAGAGUUCAUAUCGACGGCGGUGUUUGGCACCUCGAUGUCGGCUCAUCACAUCCUGGGGCUGAAGUAGGUCCCAAGGGUAUGGCUGUUCGCCAUUUAAAGUGGUACGCGAGCUGGGUUUAGAACGUCGUGAGACAGUUCGGUCCCUAUCUGCCGUGGGCGCUGGAGAACUGAGGGGGGCUGCUCCUAGUACGAGAGGACCGGAGUGGACGCAUCACUGGUGUUCGGGUUGUCAUGCCAAUGGCACUGCCCGGUAGCUAAAUGCGGAAGAGAUAAGUGCUGAAAGCAUCUAAGCACGAAACUUGCCCCGAGAUGAGUUCUCCCUGACUCCUUGAGAGUCCUGAAGGAACGUUGAAGACGACGACGUUGAUAGGCCGG